rnacentral:rRNA from 1 species
ACGUACACUCCUACGGGAGGCAGCAGUGGGGAAUAUUGGACAAUGGGCGCAAGCCUGAUCCAGCCAUGCCGCGUGAGUGAUGAAGGCCCUAGGGUUGUAAAGCUCUUUCACCGGAGAAGAUAAUGACGGUAUCCGGAGAAGAAGCCCCGGCUAACUUCGUGCCAGCAGCCGCGGUAAUACGAAGGGGGCUAGCGUUGUUCGGAAUUACUGGGCGUAAAGCGCACGUAGGCGGAUCGAUCAGUCAGGGGUGAAAUCCCAGGGCUCAACCCUGGAACUGCCUUUGAUACUGUCGAUCUGGAGUAUGGAAGAGGUGAGUGGAAUUCCGAGUGUAGAGGUGAAAUUCGUAGAUAUUCGGAGGAACACCAGUGGCGAAGGCGGCUCACUGGUCCAUUACUGACGCUGAGGUGCGAAAGCGUGGGGAGCAAACAGGAUUAGAAACCCCUGUAGUCCCAU